UACGUAGGGGGCAAGCGUUUGUCCGGAAUCAUUGGGCGUAAAGAGCGUGUAGGCGGCUCGGUAAGUCCGCUGUGAAAGUCCAGGGCUCAACCCUGGAAUGCCGGUGGAAACUGUCGAGCUAGAGUCCGGAAGAGGCGAGUGGAAUUCCUGGUGUAGCGGUGAAAUGCGCAGAUAUCAGGAGGAACACCAAUGGCGAAGGCAGCUCGCUGGGACGGUACUGACGCUGAGACGCGAAAGCGUGGGGAGCGAACAGG
rnacentral:rRNA from 1 species